UACGGAGGGUGCGAGCGUUGUCCGGAAUCACUGGGCGUAAAGGGCGCGUAGGUGGCCUGUGGAAGUCUGCGGUGAAAGCCCGGCGCUCAACGCCGGGUCGGCCGUGGAUACUCUCGGGCUUGAGCUUACUAGAGGCAGAUGGAAUUCCGGGUGUAGCGGUGGAAUGCGUAGAGAUCCGGAAGAACACCGGUGGCGAAGGCGGUCUGCUGGGGUAAUGCUGGACACUGAUGCGCGACAGCGUGGGGAGCAAACAGGAGUUAGAUACCCGUUUGAGUCC
rnacentral:rRNA from 1 species